GGACUUGUGGGAGCUGUUUAAUAACAUGGAAGUUGUACUUGUACCAGUUUUAGCAGCAAUGGAACACCACAAAAUAAACGUGGAUAUAGAUAUACUGAAGCAAACAUCUGAUAUUUUGGAGGUAAAACUGAAACAGCUGGAGCAUGAAGCACACAAAACUGCUGGACAG